rnacentral:rRNA from 1 species
CAGUAGCCGCGGUAAUACGGAGGGGGCUAGCGUUGUUCGGAAUUACUAGGCGUAAAGCGCACGUAGGCGGCUUGGUAAGUUAGAGGUGAAAGCCUGGAGCUCAACUCCAGAAUUGCCUUUAAGACUGCAUCGCUUGAAUCCAGGAGAGGUGAGUGGAACUCCGAGUGUAGAGGUGAAAUUCGUAGAUAUUCGGAAGAACACCAGUGGCGAAGGCGGCUCACUGGACUGGUAUUGACGCUGAGGUGCGAAAGCGUGGGGAGCAAACAGGAUUAGAUACCCCAGUAGUCCCUGUCUCUUAUAA